UGGAAUCGCUAGUAAUCGCAAAUCAGAAUGUUGCGGUGAAUACGUUCCCGGGUCUUGUACACACCGCCCGUCACACCAUGGGAGCUAGGAAUGCCCGAAGCCAGUGGCCUAGCCGAAAGGAAGGAGCUGUCGAAGGCAGGCCCAGUAACUGGGGUGAAGUCGUAACAAGGUACC
rnacentral:rRNA from 1 species